rnacentral:rRNA from 1 species
GGCUGAAACUCGCCUCCAUGAAGUUGGAUUCGCUAGUAAUCGCGCAUCAGCCAUGGCGCGGUGAAUACGUUCCCGGGCCUUGUACACACCGCCCGUCAAGCCAUGGGAGUUGGGGGUGCCUGAAGUUCGUGACCGCAAGGAGCGACCUAGGGCAAAACUAAUGACUGGGGCUAAGUCGUAACAAGGUAAC